rnacentral:rRNA from 1 species
AGUGGAACUCUUCCCACACUGAAAACACUCAGUCUCAUCAGAUUGUGGAAGCUCAGCAGGGUUGGUCUUGGUUAGUGCUUGGAUGGGAGAGCUCUAGGGAAAUACUGGGUGCUGCAAGUU